AUACGGAGGGUGCAAGCGUUAAUCGGAAUUACUGGGCGUAAAGCGUUCGUAGGCGGUUUGUUAAGUUAGAUGUGAAAGCCCCGGGCUCAACCUGGGAACUGCAUUUAAAACUGGCAAACUCGAGUUUAGGAGAGGGAAGUGGAAUUUCAGGUGUAGCAGUGAAAUGCGUAGAGAUCUGAAGGAACACCAGUGGCGAAGGCGACUUCCUGGACUAAAACUGACGCUGAGGAACGAAAGCGUGGGUAGCAAACGGGAUUAGAAACCCGAGUAGUCC
rnacentral:rRNA from 1 species